rnacentral:rRNA from 1 species
AUGAUUCCUGAAGUUCACUCUUAUGUCAAUACAAGAGGGGCUUUUGAAGGCAUGUACCCUCGUAGUGCAGCUGAAAUGGUGUCCCCAACUGAGUGGUGGAUAACAUUUGGAGAUACUACACCGGUGCUUCAAAAGUAUGCUAUUCAGAUUGUUUCUCAAUGCACCUCUUCAAGCGGUUGUGAGCGGAAUUGGAGCACAUACGCUUUAGUGCAUACACUAGUGAGGAACCGUCUUGGUUUUGAAAAGUUGCACAAGAUGGUUUUUUGCCACUACAACCUUGGGCUGCGAAUCCGACUAAUUCUUGGUGAGAGAAAAGAGAAAGAGGUUGAUACUUGUGCGUUGUUGAUGAAUACCUCUCUCUAUGAUUGUAACAACGAAAUCAUGGAUUGGCUGGGCAACUCAACAAGUGAUUCCAUGCAAGAUGAGGAUGCGUAUGAUGGUGAUGGUGAUUGUCCAGUAGUCGUAGAGGUGGGACAAAAGAGAACUAGAGGAAGUGGGAUGCCUCCAAGUGAGGAGGAAGAGGAGGAAGAGGAGGCAGAGGAUGUAGAUGAUGGGGAGGAUGAUGAAGGUAACAAUGACGUGCUGCCUAACGAAAACAGUGAACCUCUGCGGAAGUCUACAAGGAAAAGGAGGAAGAGGAAGCUUGAUUCGUUUUAA